CGAGUGGCGAACGGGUGAGGAAUAUAUCGGAACGUAUCCAAUAAUGGGGGAUAACUAACCGAAAGGUUAGCUAAUACCGCAUACGCCCUACGGGGGAAAGCAGGGGAUCUUCGGACCUUGCGUUAAUGGAGCGGCUGAUAUCUGAUUAGCUAGUAGGUGAGGUAAAGGCUCACCUAGGCGACGAUCAGUAGCUGGUCUGAGAGGACGACCAGCCACACUGGAACUGAGACACGGUCCAGACUCCUACGGGAGGCAGCAGUGGGGAAUUUUGGACAAUGGGGGCAACCCUGAUCCAGCCAUUCCGCGUGAGUGAAGAAGGCCUUCGGGUUGUAAAGCUCUUUCGCAAGGGAAGAAACGAUAUAGACGAAUAAUCUAUGUUAAUGACGGUACCUUGAUAAGAAGCACCGGCUAACUACGUGCCAGCAGCCGCGGUAAUACAGAGGGUGCAAGCGUUGCUCGGAUUUACUGGGCGUAAAGCGUACGCAGACGGUUUGGUAGGU
rnacentral:rRNA from 1 species